rnacentral:lncRNA from 1 species
CUCAGAGUGGCACUACACGGCGCCAACCUAUACGGGUUAGUCGGCACCCGUCCGCUAGGUACAAGCCACCCUCCCGAGGAGUUGACAACCAUUAAAGGACCAUGUACGACUAACCACCCCCUUUGCAGAUAUAAAAGUCAACCCUCUGACCAAUGAGAGAGGACUUCAUACAUUCAACUCGCUCUUAUUCCACUCAACUCUAACUUAAGCUUCGGAGGGGUCGAGUCGGGAAAUCUC